rnacentral:rRNA from 1 species
GCUCAGGAUGAACGCUGGCGGCGUGCCUAAUGCAUGCAAGUCGAACGGAGAAAGUAGCAAUACUUUUUCAGUGGCGAACGGGUGAGUAACGCGUUGGUGACCUGCCCCGAAGCGGGGGAUAACAGUCCGAAAGGACUGCUAAUACCCCAUGUGGUCAUUUGGAUUAGAUGCCUGAUGACUAAAGGAGUAAUUCGCUUUGGGAGGGGCCUGCGUCCCAUCAGCUAGUUGGUAAGGUAAUGGCUUACCAAGGCGUCGACGGGUAGGGGACCUGAGAGGGUGGCCCCCCACAAUGGAACUGAAACACGGUCCAUACACCUACGGGUGGCAGCAGCAGGGAAUAUUGGUAAUCUGCGAAAGCGGGAACCAGCAACGCCGCGUGUGCGAUGAAGGCCUUCGGGUCGUAAAGCACUUUUCGAGGGGAUGAGGAAGGACAGUACCCUCGGAAUAAGUCUCGGCUAACUACGUGCCAGCAGCCGCGGUAAAACGUAGGAGGCGAGCGUUAUCCGGAUUUACUGGGCGUAAAGCGUGUGCAGGCGGUUCGGUAAGUUGGAUGUGAAAGCUCCUGGCUCAACUGGGAGAGGUCGUUCAAUACUGUCGGACUUGAGGAUGGUAGAGGGAGGUGGAAUUCCGGGUGUAGUGGUGAAAUGCGUAGAUAUCCGGAGGAACACCAGUGGCGAAAGCGGCCUCCUGGACCAUUUCUGACGCUCAUACACGAAAGCUAGGGGAGCAAACGGGAUUAGAGACCCCGGUAGUCCUAGCUGUAAACUAUGUAGACUUGGCGUCGGUGGGUUUAAAUCCAUCGGUGCCGUAGCUAACGCGAUAAGUCUACCGCCUGGGGACU